GCCGAGGUAGCUCAGGUGGUAGAGCAGGGGUUUUGUAAACCUCAGGUCGCUGGUUCAAAUCCAGUCCUCGGCUCCA
rnacentral:tRNA from 1 species